UCCGGCGGGACAAGAAACAAAUUUUUGAAGUCAACAGAAAAAGAAAAGAAGGGACAAGAAAAAACUCAUGGAACAUCAAAUUGAAAAUAAAGCAAGACCAGGAAGAAAAGUGCCUGUGGAAAACCUGAUUUUGUCUAGAAAUUUUUUAGACGUUUAGGGAAUGGCUCCUCUUCCAAAUCAAAACUUCCACUUGUACUGGGUCCAGCCAUAUUAUAGUCAUGAUGGCUUCUCUUCACCUUGCUACGUUCAUCUACCACCAUGGGCUUAUGAAGAACUUGAUUGACAAGACCUAAAUUGUCACAAGGAUGGCUGGAUUCCCCAGCCACGGGAUUGUACUCAUUCUCAUCUUGAUCAUAAACUAAACGGAUUCCGCAUUUUUUCACUUCCAAGCCUGGGAAAGGUGAUUCAAAUGAAGCUCUAAGAUAGCGACACUUGUUCAACUGAUUUGAUUUACCAAAUCCUAUUCGGGAAUGAAAGCCCAUCCAAAGGUGAUCUGACUGAAUAGACGGGAUUCUAUAGAUGAGAAAAGAAGUCCGAGUACAGUCAAUAGCUUCCA
rnacentral:misc_RNA from 1 species